CGCCUAUCUCUCGGCCAGCGAGAUUGCGGCGCAGCUCGCGCGCGGCGCGGUGCACAUGGGAAUUACCGGCGAGGAUCUGAUCCGCGAGAACAUUCACAACGCCGACAAGCGCGUCAUGCUGAUCGAGAGUCUCGGCUUCGGCAGCGCCAAUGUCGUUGUGGCCGUGCCGCAGGCGUGGAUCGACGUUCGCACCAUGGCGGACCUCGACGAUGUCGCGACCUCGUUCCGCGCCCAGCACAAUCACCGCAUG
rnacentral:misc_RNA from 1 species